rnacentral:rRNA from 1 species
UCCGCAGGCGGAUUGGUAAGUAUCUUGUGAAAUACCAUGGCUCAACCAUGGAAUUGCUCGGUAAACUGCCAAUCUUGAACACGGCAGGGGCCAUCGGAACUCUAGGUGGAGCGGUGAAAUGCGUAGAUAUCUAGAGGAACGCCAGAGGCGAAGGCGGAUGGCUGGGCCGUUGUUGACGCUCAGGGACGAAAGCACGGGUAGCGAACG